UACGUAGGGCGCAAGCGUUUGUCCGGAAUUAUUGGGCGUAAAGAGCUCGUAGGCGGUCUGUCGCGUCUGCCGUGAAAACCCGAGGCUUAACCUCGUGGCUUGCGGUGGAUACGGGCAGACUAGAGGUAGGUAGGGGAGAAUGGAAUUCCCGGUGUAGCGGUGAAAUGCGCAGAUAUCGGGAGGAACACCGGUGGCGAAGGCGGUUCUCUGGGCCUUACCUGACGCUGAGGAGCGAAAGCGUGGGGAGCAAACAGG
rnacentral:rRNA from 1 species